UAAUUACCCAGGAGUGAAAUUCCCUGGUGACGUGAUUGAUUAACUUCAAGGUCAUGGUUUGUUAUUUAAAUUUUUUUGCUCGAGUAAAAAUUAGCUAGGAGCGGGGGCUCCCGAUUGUGUCUUCGGUCAUUCAUAACAAUGGCGGCAUUGAAAGCAAGUGUUUGCUGGUGAUGUCUUGUCUCUUGUCUUGUGUGUGACUUGUUACUGGUUCUAAUAAUAUUUUAUUGAAAGCUGCGCUACAUCUGUACGGAUACUGAAUCUAUGGAUAUUAAUAGCUGUUAUUAAAUAACCGGGAGUUUAGUCUGGUAAUAUUUAAUAUUUAAUACUCAGCACACAUUACAUCUGCGAGUGUGCUAAUACACAUACAGAUUUAAUGCUGAAUUAUUCCUAAGCUAGUUUGUUUGGAUAUAUACCUAUAAUAACAAGUGCCUUAAUUCGUUUACAUCUUCACGUCAUGGAGGAGAGCAGAAUGGAAAGCAUGUCAUCUGGACGUCCAGACAAAUCAUCAAGCUCGUCUAGAAGACACCGCAAGCGAGCGAACAAGAAAAGCCAUGUCACCAAGGUCGACAAUUGGUGCAGCGAGACCCCAACGGAGAUUAGCGAGCCGAUGAUCAACCCGGGAGUUGAUUACGCGCCGAUGUUUUGGCAGCAACCAGCAGCAACGGUUGCUCCACAUGUGGCACCAAUGCGCAACGGCCAGAGACUCUUCACGACGAUGUCUGACCCCAGUGUUUGUGGCUACUCGACGCUGCCCGUCGCUUACGCGAUGGAGCCGGUCUCGAUGCCGCCAAUCUACCCGCUGUACAGGCCAGUUCCACAGACAAACUACCGACCACCCAGAGGAAGGCCCAGGAGAAACAUUCCCCAGCAUCAAGGUCAUUCACAGUCUCACCAGGGUAUCAGUAACAUCAGCAGCGUGAAUAACGUCGCCAAUGGGUACUCGAGUCUCCAGGAAAACAGGACCGGCUACUCGACUUUAUAUCAGAAUGGAGAUUACACUUCACUGCCUCCAUCUGCGAACAAUCACAUUGUUGCUGAGAGUGAUGACUUGAACUCUGAGCACAGGAGGUACUCAGACCCUGGGCUAGGUCCUACUGAUCUGCCGGCGUAUACUGACAGUGAAGACUCUGAUUCUGGUGGUAGUUCCAGUUCUGUUACGACUGUGGAGAAAAAUAAACUUGUUUUGUCUUUGGUUGAGCAGAUGACUACACUACGAGAAGCAAAUAGCCAGAUGUUUGAACAACUUAACGAAACAAAACUGGCAUUAGAAAACGUGACUACGGAAUUAGCCGAAAUAAAACAAAACUCUUCUUCAGAUUAUCAGCCAGGAAUGUUAUCAGAAAUUAUUAGCGAGAUUCGACAAGCAAAUAAGGCGCUAGAUGAAACAAUUGAUGCGAGAAUAAAGUUGAUAGUUGAAGAGAAAACCCGACAAAAACUACUAGAGCUUGACGACCUCAAGGGACAACUGGCCCAAAUGACUGAGCAAAAGGCCAAAGGAGAUAGACGAAUUGCCAUCUUGGAGGAGGAGGUUGCUAGUCUUAAAAUUAAUGCUUCCAACGUCGUGGGUCAUGAGAUCGCAGCCUUUGAGGAAGAAGCCCUGGCUCUUCGACGGGAGCUUCAGGAAGCGAGGGCAAAAAACGCCGAGCAUCAAGAGGCUAAGUGCGUAGAAGCAUCAUCGAUAGCGAGAGCUAUCAAGCCUUUAUCUUUCGAAACACCCUGUAUAACCAGCACCCCCGUGCGUACCAACUUCCACGAGCUGAAUAAGAGCUCAAGCUCCAUUCCAGCCUCAGCCUCAUCUUCUUCCUCGACUUCGACCGUCUCGUCCCCCUCACCUCUGUCCCCCUCCGACUCGUCGAGGAAUCUGGACCAGGUCGACCAAGACUGGCAGUGGAAGAAGUUCACUGGUCCUGAUACCGAGCCGCUCGCGGAUCCAGUGCCGUUGACCGACGGAAGAACCAAAGAAAAAGAGUCCAAUGGAAAUAAUUACUGGAAGAACAGAGGCUCUGACGCUUCCAUGCGGCCUGAUGAAAGAGAAGCUUUUGAGAGACUGCUCCACUUCCACUUUGAAAGAGACUCGGUUCCUGCGAACAAUUUCCAGCGCUCAGCAGUCGUCAGACGCAAGAGCGACGUCACGAAUAACUCCAGAAAAGCGUCCCAGUUUUCCUGCUUCAGAGCCGCUUCUACCAAUUCGCUUCCUCUGGAGGACAAAGAAGAAUCUGAAAGAUCAGAUAAAAAUCAAGAAAAUGGUGUUGAGGUUCCGGACGUCGUGGUGGUUCCUGGAAAAUCAGUGGUACCUAAAAAUUUGUGCUCGACGAGAAUCCCGAAUUCCAGUGUCCUCAAAGCACCCUCACGCGCCACUUUUACCACCGCCUAUAUUUAGGUUACGUACGGGGCCACUCAAUAUUCAAUUCAAUAUUUAUUGUGCCAUCACAAACUGGGGCUUCAUUGUUUGGGGUUUACUUCUGUACAAACUUCACACGAGGAUUAAGGGAAGAAAGAGAGGAAAAGAAGGUAACCGGAAACGUGAUUUAUCAGACUGGAGAAGCUGGUGGCGGCAAUGCGUAAAAAGGUGAUCAUUUCAACAUCAGAGCAUCA